AUCUACGACCAUGCCAACCUGAACAUGCCUGAUCUCAUCUGAUCUUGGAAGCUAAGCAGGGUCAGGCCUUGUUAGUACUUGGAUAGGAGACCACCUUGGAAUACCAGGUGCUGUAGGCA
rnacentral:rRNA from 1 species